rnacentral:rRNA from 1 species
UACGGGGGGUGCGAGCGUUGUCCGGAAUCACUGGGCGUAAAGGGCGCGUAGGUGGUUUGAUAAGGGUGUGGUGAAAGCCCGGGGCUCAACCCCGGGUCUGCAGUCGAUACGGGCGGACUGGAGUUCGGCAGGGGAGACUGGAAUUCCUGGUGUAGCGGUGAAAUGCGCAGAUAUCAGGAAGAACACCGAUGGCGAAGGCAGUUCUCUGGGCCGUAACUGACGCUGAGGAGCGAAAGCGUGGGGAGCGAACAGG